AACACUGCUCCGAGGAGGUGCCGAAAUGCAGGGUCCCUCAUUUUGAUCUGUGUCUGUCCUGGUAUGAAUUAACAGAGGGGAACAGGAAAUGGAUCGACACUGUUCGAUCGCAAAGCUGUGGGGGAACUCUUGGAUGAAAGUCAUAACCCAGCGGAGAAGGAUGAAAGGAAUUUAAAGCUUCCUCCACGUUGAUGUCUCUGCGUUAUCCAUGGCGGCAGGGACAGUGCUCAUCUUACUCUUCUCUUUCACUCAAGGGAGACCUGAAGCUCCGAAAGUUAACGCCCACUCCACAGUCUGGACAGCAUGAUGAAGCAGUCCAACAAGAAAUCAUGUACACCAGGCCUUUUUUCAGAGGCUGACUUCAGUAGCAGCUAUGGCAACACUUUCAGAAUUUAUUAGCUUCUGGAAAAAAAGGAUGAGACUGGAAGAGAGAGCCUACAACAACAUUUACUCUGGACCUCGGUCUAAUCUGAAGCUGCACAUCUGGUAAGGUAGCAAGUCAAAAGGCACACGCGGCCUUCCAGUUGUAGCAAAGGGAAGAUGGCUUCUUUGUAUAUAGCAGGACCGAGAAAAGAUAAUAGCUAGGUGAACCCUAUUUCUUACCACCUAAGUAAAACACAGAGAUAAAUCAUGCCCUGAAUGAAUGAAUGAAAAUGAGCAACAGGUGAUGAACGGAAUUUCUCAUUCUAAAAUGAUUCUUUGUUUUUUUCUUCUUUGAAGAAUGGGAGCAGAGAGGUAAAAGAGAAGAAGAAAGGAAAAUAAUUCACUAUAUAUCUUUGAGGCUUUUAGAUCUUUGUCCAUUUUUAUCUUUCCCUAAGAUCUUUGGUAAAUCCCUUUUAGAUGGCCAAUGGCAAAAUCAUGAAGCCUUUUUGAAGUAACCCUGGCUCUUCAAUCCACCAGAGCUAAAGCAAUCAUACUCUCAUCGAUGCAUACAUUCAUCUUGAACAGAAGAGGCCCAAGAGAACUCUACGUGUGUGUGUGGAGGGGCACGCACAUUGGGAUGAGAUGAGCAGGUGGGGUUUGCUGAAGGGGUUAGAAUAAAAUCCGGCUAUAGAUGAUGGAUUAUCAUGAUAAUCCUACGUAAACUCCAACUCCUUCACAUUUGACUCCUGCUUGUUUAUCUAGCCUCGUCCUCUAUUUCCAGCUCUAUACAUUUAUAUUGACUGUCUCACUAACCUCCUAGCAAGCCUUGUUUUUCCUGCUUAAUACCUUCAAGCAAACAGGCUGUUCCCUCUGUAUGAAAUGCUCUUCCCAGCCUAUCACUAUGCAUAGCUCAAGACCUGUUCAGCAAACACUUGUCAUGGCACCACCCCCAAACUCCCCGAGGAGGGUUAAUUGCAGAGUUAGUUGUUCUCUCCUCUGUGGCCUCACAGCUAAAGAGCUAUCUACCACAGGGUUUUCUCAUCUACUUAUGUAUAUUCACAUAUACUUCUUUCCCGUUAGACUCUGAAAUUCUCAAGCGCAGCAGCAAUCUCAUUUUAUCCCCCAAAUCUAGAUAAUGCAUGGUGUAAAGGAGACAACAAACAUGUUAUGUGAACCAUAUUGAGAAGUGUUCCCAUUCUUAUCAAUCCAAGGUAAAGGGCUUCUAGCCACCUAAGCUCUUAAGAUGAAAAGAUGACCAUGAGAGAAAUAUUCACGUUCCUCUGAAAUCUUCCAAAUGGCUGUGAAAACAAUGAGAAGAAAGUAUAAAGUCAAAGAUGUGGUAGGGUAUGGCAUGGGAAAUUUGCACUCUAGAGACUAAAAUUGAGGGGCAACAGAGUCUAACACAUAGUAAAUAGCUGUGGAUUCAAAUCACAGCUUGGCUCCUUGAAUUUAAAUGAAAUAACACAUUUGGAUGUAAUCACAGUUGCUCAUGGGGUUGGGAAAAUAGCUGGAUCUUUGUGCCCAUAGUCUCAACUAUAUAAUGUAACAUGUGCAAGCACCGCAUUGUGUCACUAGUGUAAAACUUGAAAGAGUUAAUUUAA